AUAAUACUCCCUCCGUCCGGAAUUACUUGUCAUCAAAAUGGAUGUGUCUAGAACUAAAAUACAUCUAGAUUUUUCUUUUUCAAUGACAACUAUUUUCGAACGGAGGGAGUAGUAG
rfam:Triticum aestivum genome assembly, contig: Triticum_aestivum_CS42_TGACv1_scaffold_643944_T_6AL-0.127265_6BL-0.121219